rnacentral:rRNA from 1 species
UACGUAGGCAGCGAGCGUUGUUCGGAAUUACUGGGCGUAAAGAGUGUGUAGGCGGUGCUCUAAGUUCGGUGUGAAAUCUCCCGGCUCAACUGGGAGGGUGCGCCGAAUACUGAAUGACUCGAGUGCGGGAGAGGAGAGUGGAAUUCCUGGUGUAGCGGUGAAAUGCGUAGAUAUCAGGAGGAACACCGGCGGUGUAGACGGCUCUCUGGACCGUAACUGACGCUGAGACACGAAAGCGUGGGUAGCAAACAGG